UACGUAGGGGGCAAGCGUUGUCCGGCUUUAUUGGGCGUAAAGAGCGUGUAGGCGGCCAGGUAGGUCGGUUGUGAAAACUGGAGGCUCAACCUUCAGAGGUCGACCGAAACCAUCUGGCUAGAGUCCGGGAGAGGAGAGUGGAAUUCCUGGUGUAGCGGUGAAAUGCGUAGAUAUCGAGAGGAACACCUGCGGCGAAGGCGGGUAGCUGGGCCGACACUGACGCUGAGGCGCGAAAGCCAGGGGAGCGAACGGG
rnacentral:rRNA from 1 species